GACGAACGCUGGCGGCGUGCCUAAUACAUGCAAGUUGAGCGCUGAAGGUUGGUACUUGUACCGACUGGAUGAGCAGCGAACGGGUGAGUAACGCGUGGGGAAUCUGCCUUUGAGCGGGGGACAACAUUUGGAAACGAAUGCUAAUACCGCAUAAAAACUUUAAACACAAGUUUUAAGUUUGAAAGAUGCAAUUGCAUCACUCAAAGAUGAUCCCGCGUUGUAUUAGCUAGUUGGUGAGGUAAGGGCUCACCAAGGCGAUGAUACAUAGCCGACCUGAGAGGGUGAUCGGCCACAUUGGGACUGAGACACGGCCCAAACUCCUACGGGAGGCAGCAGUAGGGAAUCUUCGGCAAUGGACGAAAGUCUGACCGAGCAACGCCGCGUGAGUGAAGAAGGUUUUCGGAUCGUAAAACUCUGUUGGUAGAGAAGAACGUUGGUGAGAGUGGAAAGCUCAUCAAGUGACGGUAACUACCCAGAAAGGGACGGCUAACUACGUGCCAGCAGCCGCGGUAAUACGUAGGUCCCGAGCGUUGUCCGGAUUUAUUGGGCGUAAAGCGAGCGCAGGUGGUUUAUUAAGUCUGGUGUAAAAGGCAGUGGCUCAACCAUUGUAUGCAUUGGAAACUGGUAGACUUGAGUGCAGGAGAGGAGAGUGGAAUUACAUGUGUAGCGGUGAAAUGCGUAGAUAUAUGGAGGAACACCGGUGGCGAAAGCGGCUCUCUGGCCUGUAACUGACACUGAGGCUCGAAAGCGUGGGGAGCAAACAGGAUUGGAUACCCUGGUAGUCCACGCCGUAAACGAUGAGUGCUAGAUGUAGGGAGCUAUAAGUUCUCUGUAUCGCAGCUAACGCAAUAAGCACUCCGCCUGGGGAGUACGACCGCAAGGUUGAAACUCAAAGGAAUUGACGGGGGCCCGCACAAGCGGUGGAGCAUGUGGUUUAAUUCGAAGCAACGCGAAGAACCUUACCAGGUCUUGACAUACUCGUGCUAUUCCUAGAGAUAGGAAGUUCCUUCGGGACACGGGAUACAGGUGGUGCAUGGUUGUCGUCAGCUCGUGUCGUGAGAUGUUGGGUUAAGUCCCGCAACGAGCGCAACCCCUAUUGUUAGUUGCCAUCAUUAAGUUGGGCACUCUAACGAGACUGCCGGUGAUAAACCGGAGGAAGGUGGGGAUGACGUCAAAUCAUCAUGCCCCUUAUGACCUGGGCUACACACGUGCUACAAUGGAUGGUACAACGAGUCGCGAGACAGUGAUGUUUAGCUAAUCUCUUAAAACCAUUCUCAGUUCGGAUUGUAGGCUGCAACUCGCCUACAUGAAGUCGGAAUCGCUAGUAAUCGCGGAUCAGCACGCCGCGGUGAAUACGUUCCCGGGCCU
rnacentral:rRNA from 1 species